UACGCACGCGUGCAUGAGCUCCAGUAGUAGAGCCAGCUGGGCCUUCCUCACCACGCCAUCAUUCACCGUGCUUGUCCAUGGCUCUGUUGGCACCGCCUCGUCGCAGCACGGUUUGUUCUCGUUCUUGCUGUCAAGAACACAACUCUUUUCUCCCUUACGAACACACACAUGGUGAGAAGACUCAACACACACACACGCCCAAGGAAGAAACCAACACCAGCUUUACCGAGAGCUCUCCUCCUUGAUGACACAACCGCUACAUUUUUCACAGCCUUCACGGUCAAUUUUUCUCACUGACUCAACUGAGUUAUAUACACAGAAGGUAGACGCACCCACUAACCUAGCCACCAUGCUCGGCCACUAACCCAACUAAUUCCAUGCACUAACCACCUACUGCAUGCACAUCCAUAUCCAGUGCGUGGACAGUAUAUCCUCAACAGCCACACUAUUGACCAUGCAGCUAACUACUCCUAGCUAAUUGCACGGCCAAGUCCAGUCUUUAUGCAGCCACAUCAACGGUCACGGACCCUGCCAAACUAGCAUGCACACCGCCGUUGUGUCCCGCACGUCCUGCGUGUGCCCGACGAGCCCAACCGCACCAGUGCGCCCCACACGUCCCGCGUGCUCCCGACGCGCCCGACGAGCCCGACCGCACCAGUGCGUCCCGCACGUUCGGUGCGUACCCGACGUGCCUGACGAGUCCGACCGCACCAGACGUCGUGGCUUAUUCCAACACACACCCCCUAAGCCACGGCCUCGCCAUCGCCGGAGUAGCUCAUGCCAAUGUCGUCACCACGACCGUGACCCCGCUCGCGGACCCGACCUGGUGCACUGACGCCAAUUGCAUCGUGAUCCGUUACGUCUCCGGCGACAUAUGCCGAGAUCCUUCUCCGCCGGCGACACAUGCCUGGCGUCCCUCGGCGACAAACGCCAUUGAUGCCAUCGCGCUUAAACGCAAGUCUUCCUGGAUGCCGCUUCAUGACGUAGCACUGCGCCACUAUGUCUUCCGCCGACACGCCGCAUCUCCAUGCCACGCGCCACUGCGCCUCCACGAUCGUCGCGCCGAGCCGCUGCAGCCUCUGCGACACCACGCAGGUCCUUCGCGACCUCCUCGCCUCCACGACUGCCGCUCUCAUCGCGAGCACGGCAUCACACUGCAUCGCUGCGGACUUGCCGCGCACUGCAACCGAUGCCUCCAUGUCCGCCGCGCGUGCCGCGGACGCCGUCGCACGCCACGGCCGCCCCUCGAACCUAGUCGCUCUGAUGCCAAUUGUUGGUGCCGCCUCGUCGCAGCACCACUUGUUCUCGUUCUUGCUGUCAAGAACACAACUCUCUCUUCUCCCUUACGAACACACACAUGGUGAGAAGACUCAACACACACACACACCCAAGGAAGAAACCAGCACCAGCUUUACCGAGAGCUCUCGUCCUUGAUGACAUAACCGCUACAUUUUUCACAGCCCUCACCGCCAAUUUUUCUCACUGACUCAACUGACUUAUAUACACAGAAGGUAGACGCACCCACUAACCUGGCCACCAUGCUCGGCCACUAACCCAACUAAUUCCAUGCACUAACCACUUACUGCAUGCACGUCCAUAUCCAGUGCGUGGACAGUAUAUCCUCAAUGGCCACACUAUUGACCAUGCAUCUAACUACUCCUAGCUAAUUGCACGGCCAAGUUCAGUCUUUAUGCAGCCACACUAACGGCCACGGACCCUACCAAACUAGCAUGCAC
rnacentral:lncRNA from 1 species